GAUGAACGCUGGCGGCGUGCCUAAUACAUGCAAGUCGAGCGAACAGAUGAGGAGCUUGCUCCUCUGACGUUAGCGGCGGACGGGUGAGUAACACGUGGAUAACCUACCUAUAAGACUGGGAUAACUUCGGGAAACCGGAGCUAAUACCGGAUAAUAUAUUGAACCGCAUGGUUCAAUAGUGAAAGACGGUUUUGCUGUCACUUAUAGAUGGAUCCGCGCCGCAUUAGCUAGUUGGUAAGGUAACGGCUUACCAAGGCAACGAUGCGUAGCCGACCUGAGAGGGUGGUCGGCCACACUGGAACUGAGACACGGUCCAGACUCCUACGGGAGGCAGCAGUAGGGAAUCUUCCGCAAUGGGCGAAAGCCUGACGGAGCAACGCCGCGUGAGUGAUGAAGGUCUGCGGAUCGUAAAACUCUGUUAUUAGGGAAGAACAAAUGUGUAAGUAACUAUGCACGUCUUGACGGUACCUAAUCAGAAAGCCACGGCUAACUACGUG
rnacentral:rRNA from 1 species